rnacentral:misc_RNA from 1 species
UUAAGUAUUCAUUGUUUUAUAAUAACCCUUAUUAGUUAAACACUUGAAUAGAUACUUCAUUCUAGUCUACACAAUCAAAGGCACUUGUUACCCUUCUAAAGAGUCAAGUGUGUAUUCUCAAGAAUAGAAUAUACAUUUUGAGGUCAUCCAGUAGGAAAGUAAAUACUUUAUUUGAAGGCUUAUUUCAUAAAUUAGAUUGUUAUUAUGAAUCAAUUCAGUCAUUGAUUAAUAUAUCAACAAUAUAAAUCACAUGCUGCACAUUUUGGAACAAUAGUACACAGGCACAUUAAAAUUCUUAAGAUAUUAUAUUAUUUCAAAUGUAUUUAACCGGGGUCAAGACUCAGAUAAACACGGUGCAAAAACAGCAAAAGUAGAAAAUAGAUUCGACCACUCUAAAAUGGCUUUACCGUUUAUGUCCUAAAAAGGGCACAUACGUAUGGACAUUAAGCAUAAUUCCGCUGACUUAAAAGAUUUCCAUUUCCGUAUGACAGAUUCUAUAAUUUUGCAUGCUAUCUUUUUUGUUUGUUUCAUGUAUACGUUCUAAGAAAACGCGAUUUGUUAUUUUGCAACACAUGCACUGUUUGUAAGUAAACAAUAUCACAUCAGAACGUCUAACGUCUAAACGUCAUGGCGGCGCGCUCAGAAAACAGGCAAAUAUUUACCGCUAAGAGAGUCUCUACAAAGGGAUUUGGACGACGAGGAUUGACCAUACAGAUUUUCGAUGACUCUGCACGGGAGAUCAACCAACUGCACAACAAAAAUGCCGCGGGCCAAUCGAUUCUAGUAGCUCGUGUUACAUUUUCGGUACCUUUGUAUGGCGAUAGAAGGCACUGACAGGCAACGCUGAACGCUGCGGCAUUAAGCUUCGCGGGACGCUCCUGAGUGACACAGAUGUAUAGAACAGAGAGAAGAGUCUACUAGUAAACCGGCACUUCAUCAGAAGGCCUGCAGAGAAGUCCCAAAGCUUCGCAAACCCUACGUUCAAUGUGUGAUGCGAGAGUAGAGGGGUAUCAUCACCAGCCACGGACCACCAGCCUGAGCUUUGCGGCGACAAAACACCGUUGUAAGAGAGAUCUUGCCGCCUUGUUAUCUUCUCAUUUUGUCUCUCGGGUUUCUGUCCUUUAGGUCUCGUUGGCCGUGACAGUGACUGACUUUUGGCUUUAAAAUUAUUUUCUUAUACGUUCUUGUAUAGAGGUAAAUUCUUUUCAUCAAUUGGCUUAAAAAUGCUCUGUAACGGCAUGACUGAGAACAUGCUGGGGAUCCGCACUCUACAUAGCAUAAUGUUCUGGGUGCUAUAUACAUAACAUAGGAUAUUCUACGGUCAUGGCUUUGCGGCCAGAUGGAUCCUUAUUAAGCAGAAACAUACCUUAAUACAUGGACAUGUUCAUGUAGAUUAUAACCUUUAUAACGUGUUAGCAAACAGUCAUUCGGUCUUGAAUAAACUCAUUGUUUAUCAUUCAUAUGCGUAUCAUUAUAUAUAUAACCCAUUAGAAUCUGAACGCCGAAAAUUUUAUAAUCUUAUUCGAUGACAAAUCACUGUUUCUGAAAUGACACAGGACAAAGUUAAUACUCAUUAUUUUCGUGAUUUCACUUUCUGAAAUCGCACUGUUUUGAUUAUUAAGAAGACAAAUAUGUAUUAAAAAUAUUGUUACAAAAUAGAUAUGUUGUAAAUGGUAGUCAGAUUUUCACUCAAUAUAUAUGAUACUUGUAAAUAUGAAACAAAACAAUGCUGAGAAUAUAUCUUUUCUUCCGAACGAUCAAAGUGUUUUAACAACUCAUUGAGACCACUUGAAACAUUCUUUUAUUCAAGUGUGUUUGAUGUAUAUGAAUGACACGACACAACAGUAUUAUUUUACAAACUAUUAAUUCAACACGUUUUCGUUUAAAAAUACGUAUAUCAAAACAAGUUUCAGUAGGCUAUUAUGUAUAAACAAAAUGCAUCCUUUGUGACACAGUGAUGGUUUCAACGUACGGACUAUGGCCUAGUGGCACCUUUGUAAUUUUUUCGACUCUCCUGAUAGCGCAAAGUCUAGCCUGUCCAACAAGCUGUGCUACGUGCAAUAACGACAAUACAUGUGAAAGAUGCAUAGACGGCUACUACAACGGACACCUGUAUGACGAACAACGGUAUCCUGACGUCAAGAAUUGCAGUCUUAAGUGCAACGAGGAUUAUUGUGAAGCUUGUACUUCAUUUAAAACCUGUAGUCAAUGCAAGCCUGGAUUUUGCAUCGAUACAGAGGAUAAAACUUGCCAAAGGCGAUGCAAUGAUAGAAAUUGCGAAACAUGUGCAUCAUGUGACGUUUGUACGAGAUGUCAUUUUUGGUAUUACGGUAGAACUUGUAAGGAGAGAUGCGGAUAUGGCUGUGAAGGUGAACGUUGUAACAUGAAAAGCGGCCACUGCAGUUGUCGACAAAACUUUGAAGGUCAUAAAUGUGACAGAUGCCUUUUAGGUAAAUAUGGUCAUGACUGUGACAAAAAAUGCCCAGAAGGUUGUCACACUAACCAUUGUGACAAGCAAAGUGGUCUUUGUGUACAUGGUUGUAAACAAGGAUAUAAACUUCCCUAUUGUGACUCGUGCAUUAAUGGAUUCUAUCUUAAUGGUGAUACAUGUAAACAUUGCCCAAACACCUGUUUGAAAUGUACAUCGUCAAGCAGAUGUUCAAUGUGUAAAGCAGGAUCUUGGGGACAUAAGUGUCAGCAUACCUGUCCUCGGACUUGCAAAUCUUGUGACUUCUACGGGAAAUGCCAGGCAUGCAUUCCAGGAUAUCACGGUCCAUCCUGUAACCAUUUAUGUCCAGAAACAUGUGCGACUAAUUCUUGUAAAAUUGAAGGUACCUGUUUUGCCUGUGAUAGCGGAUAUUUUGGAGCAAACUGUUCGAAUGCUUGUCCUUCUAAUUGUAAAGAGAAAUGUUUAAGAGAAAAUGGUCAUUGUCGUUCAUGUAUUGAUGGGUACUUUGGCAAUGUUUGUGAUAGAAACUGUCCAGAAAACUGUUUGAGCUGCAUAUCGGAAACAAAUUGUUCAUAUUGCAAAACAGGAUUCAAAGGCAAUAUUUGUGAAUAUGAAUGUUCUAACUGCAAAUAUGGAACUAAAUGUAGACAGCUAGAUGGCUACUGUGAAGAGGACUGCGCCGACGGUUUAUACGACACAAUGUGUGAUAGAACGUGUUUGACGGAAUGUAAAACGUGUGCCAGAACAUCACACUUUAGGUGUUCUUCUUGCAUUCACGGAAAAUACGGCAGGCGUUCCAAUAGCGGGGAAACAUAUCUAACAUGUAAAUCAAAUUGUAGUGCGGCAUGCUUAAAUAACAGCUGUAACGAAGAAAAUGGCCGAUGUCUACACGGAUGUUUUCAAGGGCAUUGGGGAUCUCAUUGUGAUUCGCCGUGUCCAGGGAACUGUAAGAAUGGAAAAUGUUUUGAUGAGGACGGAGCAUGCGCCGAAGGCUGUAAAAAAAGAAUAUUUUGGAAGAAAAUGUUCCUUGCGUUGCAAUGACUACGAUCCUUAUUGUUCGGCAUGCAUGGCAAACGAUAACGGCCAAUAUGAAGGCUGUGUUAUGUGUACAAAGGGUUACUAUCCAACUGAUCAGCUGAAACAUAAGCGAUGUGGACCUUGUUCACCUAACUGUUCACUUAACGAAUGCAACACAACAAAUGGAUUUUGUGUACACGGCUGUACAAUGGGAUUAUGGGGAAAGGAGUGUGAGAAAACUUGUGAUUUAAAUUGUGCAUGUUGUAACCAAACUAACGGAGAUUGCUUAACGUGUACCGACGGCCGAUACGGUAUCAAAUGCUUAGAAAAUUGUAGUACAAACUGUGGAAGAAGAAAUAGAGUACCCGUAUGCAGUCAAAAUGAUGGCCAAUGUUUAAAUGAUUGUAGUAAUAACACAAGUUACGGUACAUAUUGUGAAAACGAAUGUAGCAAGAAUUGUUUAAAUGGUGAAUGUCACUGGAAAACAGGACAUUGCAUCUUAGGAUGUAUUUACGGCUUCCAAUGGUACGGUCUGUGACAUGCGCUGCAGUAAAAACUGUGUGAACAACACUUGUAACAGAUUAGGCGGAGAUUGUAGUGUAGGAUGCCGGGCAGGAUUUGAAGGAACAGGCCUGCACUCGAGUGACUGGUGGCAUCAAUUUGGGCGUUAUCAUAGGUACAGGCAGUGCCUUGACAGUAAUUCUGAUUGGCAUUACUACUACGGUUAUCUGUAAAUGCCAUAAACGAAACAGGACCAAACCAUCUCUGGAAUUGAGAGAAAGAAAUAGAAAU